AAAAACCCGACAGCAAUUCGCACUCCUGAGGAGGAGAAGGAAAUGAGCAUUCACUCAUUGGACCUGAUGGUCAACCUGGACAAAGGUCACGUGCUGAGCCCCCACGUGUUCAACAUCUGCAGCGAGGCCACAGACGGCAUUUUCGCCCAGGAGACUGACCUGAGGACCAUCUCCAAGUCUCUGGCCAAGGACUACAUCACGCUGAUAUCCUCCACCUCGGAGCUGGUGCCGAGCAAACACCCGAGAUGCCGCGACACCUCAGAUAUAGGCCGGCCGUGUGCGUGUGAGCUGCGCACCUGCAUCGGGUGGUACCCGUGUGGACUCAAGUACUGCCACGGAAAGGACACGGGCGGCAGGGUGGUCAGCUACCGGUGUGGCAUCAAGACCUGUAAGCGCUGCUUGUCGUUUGUCUACGUCGCCAAGCUCAAGACCAAGUGUCUCUGGGACUUUUGAUGAGAGUUCAGGAUAGGGUCGACUACGGAUGAGUUGAUGUUAUCGGGGGAGGGGAAGAAAGAUCUACCCAUCCAAAGUUCUAGUUAACUGUUGGGAUCUGUGUAAAGAAGGAGGAGUGCUGGGACCCGGGAAAACGAUAUACUUAACUGAAGAUCAAUUCAAGUGGGUUCGACACAAGCAGAGUUGACUGUAUGUAAGGAGGCAUUGGUCAUCUUUUGUUUUUGUCGCGAAGCAGUAGGAAAGUCUUUUUGAUUGUUGAUUUUUUUGUGACAAAGUUUUAAAACUUGUUUGGAAUCUUUUUGUCUGAUGUGCAACUUAGAAAAACUGUGGUUAGAACAGUAUGUGCACAUCUAACAGGACAUGCAAUUUAACAACGGACGUAUUGUUGUAUAUAUACACAAAUAAUGUGUGUAGUUUAGAAACACCCCAGUAUCAAUAUUUUGGUUUGUGCUUUAUUGACUUUCUGUGAAAUGUCUUUGAGGAGAACUUUUAGAGGGGAACUCUUUUGAUCGGAAAAAAAAAAUUGUAUUAACUUUAAAAUGUAAAUUGCAGGUAUUUUGCACCACAAUUGCCACUGUUUCGAUCAUUUUACUUUGAUCACGAGACAAAAUUUAUAUUUUUUUUCUAGUCUUGUUGGUUUGAUGUCAUUUUUACUGACAAUAUUUGUACAUGCGUUUCCUCUUGCUGAACGACUUAUUCUGAUUCUUCUUGGAUUUCCACUCAUGUUGUCGCAGAAACGAUGAAAACUUUUUACACUCUAGUUUUUCACCUUGUUGUUAUUUGAGUUUUUUUAGAAGACUUUUUUUCAAGGUCACGUGAAAAUUAGGAAGGUGAAUGGAACGAAAAGAUUAGAUGAGAUGAAUGUAUUAUUUGAGCCUUUACUUCAGGCGUGUGAUGUACCUGUAUGUUGAUGCUCCACAUUGCCUGUCUUUCUCUCUGUUUAUUUCUCUAAUAGUUUAUAGUUUUAGUCAUAGAUUUUUGCAUUAUCCAUUUUUCUCUUAGAUUGUCUAUAGUCCCUUAUUUCCAUUUGUUAGAUGGACUUUUGUUUCUGCUUUGUUUUGUUUGUGAAGGUUAUAAAUUAUUUGUCGCUUUGGCAAACCAUGGAGUCAGUCAUGACCCUAACCCUAACAUUUUUAUUUUUAACUUAAAAAAAACCCCUAAUUUUUAAUGCAGACCUCAACUUUAGUGCGGUGGUCUCAACAUCUCUCAUUUCUCCCUCGUCUGACCCCGCUCAGGUUACAGCUCAGUCCUCACUGUACGUGCCACACACUCUCGCCCAUUCUAGGUCACAAGAUCUUGUAGUGAAUGUUAUACAGCCCGUCCAAGCAAUUUACAUAAUUUUACUCUUACAGGCGGUAAGGUAAUUCCUUGCUUUGUCGCAGCAGGUUUAAUAUAAAAUAUGUAAACUUAAGCAUUUUCAGUCAGCUUUUAAAAAGAUAGGUUUCAAUAUAUACGAGCAUGCAUUACCCAUUUAAAAAGAUAGGUUUCAAUAUAUACAAGCAUGCAUUACCCAUUUAAAAAGAUAGGUUUCAAUAUAUACAAGCUUGCAUUAUCCACCAAAAUUUUGGGAAAAGAAUGAAGAUGUUGCAUGGAGAUACUGCAAGCUGAUAUAUAUCUGAUUCAUGAGGAAGACAAGAAUUUAAACAAAAUACUCAUCUUGUCAGUAAUGUGUCGACUUCUGAAAGUUAAGAGACAGGCUGCUUCCACCGUCCCAUUGGGGCCUACCUGGGCAGAGUGGGAUGCAGAAUCCCGGGAGAAAGACGGAAAUAGUUGAUGGAAUAGCUUCCCCAAGAAGGGUCUGAGGUAAAAUGUUUUUGCGCAUAAGGCUGAACUGAAUGCACAUGCCUGUGGUCAUUGUGACCAGGAAGCAGACUUGUCAGCUGUCCGGAAUUUCCUGGGACAAUCUCGGAUUCAGCAGUUGUGAAUGUGAGAGUCUUAUCAUAUGCACUGCACGAUGCCAUAAGUUGUCCAGCUUGAUGUAAAUUUGUUCAUUGUUAUAUUAUGUAAUAUGAUGUUAUUACAUUUGUGUCCUCUGUUUUGUUCUGAAAAACAGUGCAAGCUUGGAGUUAUAUGAAAACAAUAAAUCAUCGAAAACCUGUAAGUUAGGUGUAAAUAAGAAGUAAAAGGCCCACCCUGAUGGUAAGUCUUCUCCUCAAAAUGAAAUGCAGUCUGGAUUGAAAGAGCAAAAAGAGUCUGGAAAUGCAAUAUUUUUGUCAACAUGUCAACAAUAGAGGUGUGGAUAAGAGAACACCUGUUGUGUGAAUGAUACUUUGUGGUUAUUGUUCUAUUCAUCUUUGUAGAAAGCUGAGCUAGGAAGCAGAUUAUCCUUGUUUCUGUUUAUUAUAGCUUUCUGUACCAUGUUUUUGAUCACUGUUGCUUUUGUCGAAAGAACGAAACCUUUGCUGUGUUAAUUUGGUUGUUUUUUAAAUCCUGCUUUUUUUUUCCUUAUGCUGACUAAAGAAUACUUUUGUAAUGAAAAUUUUAUUUUAAAAAUGAUGGCUGAUGAAUGUUUUUGCAAUGCGUACAGUCUUAAAUUAUCCGGUGUUUUUCAUGCUCUUUUUAGAAUAGUUGUGUUUUCUCUUUAAAGUUAUUUUAGUAGGCUCUCAACCCAAUUGGCUCUGUCCUAUUGUAGACGGACGUUGAAUCGAGAGGGCCUGCCUCUUAGAUGACCUAAUAGUGUUGCUAGGGACCUAUACAAGUGGGUGGUUGGUGGAUGCUCUAGUGUGGUUUGCCCCUUCUUUCCUAUAAAAAAAGUAUUGUCCUUAUCUCUCCUCCUCUGUUGUAUUUGUUACUCUCUUGAAACGCCUCAAAUCUUUGGUACUUAGGCGACCUAAUCGUGUAAGUUAAAUGUAAAAGUGACAUAAAAUGUUUACUAAAACUAAAAACUAAUGCAUCGCGGGAAGGCACAAUUGUUGAACAUGGACUAGAGGUAAAAAUUUAUGCUUAGACUAAAUCAAAACUUGUGGUGAGAUUUAAGCAAAUGUCUGAAGGUUUGGGUUUUUUUAAAAUGCCGGUAUGUUACAAUUUUGUUACUGAUGGAAGCUAUGGGUUGUAGCAUGAGAGUUGUGACUGGGGGGAAAAAAAGAUCUGGCAGUGUGAUAUUAAAUGUUGUAUUGGAAAUUGUUAGAAUGUACAAGAUGCUGUCUCUAUGGUGUGUGUGUGUGUGUGUGUGGGAAGGGGGGGGGGGCCUUGUUAAUGUAUGUGUUUGCAUGUGUGUGUGUAUGUGUGUGUUUGUGUGUGUAUGCAUGUGUGUGUGUGUUUGCAUAUUAUAUAUAUGUAUGCACCUGUUUGAGUUUAAUGCUUAAGGCUAUUUGUAAAGGUUUUCACAUUUUGUAUAAUGUCUGUACAUGCAUGUUUUGCAUUUAUUGCCUAGCUAUCUACCGUUAUUUUUAAAUUUAAAAAUUGUAAAUUAAAUCUAUGAAGUUUAUUCUGUCUUAUUACUGCUGAUGUUCCGAGCAUUGAACAUCACAGGAGAAUUAACCCUUUCACUGCCAGAACUGUUCCAUAAUCCCACCAAUGAUCUUAUACCAUCCUGGAUGAGGCAGUGAAGGGGUUGAAUCUUGCUUGACAACUUGGACAAGUGUCUGAACGUGCUUGCUUGGGCUGAGGAUCAAGCAAAUGUAAAUAAUAAAUACUUCUGAUUAUAU
rnacentral:misc_RNA from 1 species